UCGCAAGUCCCCUUUUGUUCCUCAGAUGGGUGAUGAGGUGAUGUACUUUCGUCAGGGUCAUGAAGCUUACAUUGAAGCUGUCAGAAGAAAUAACAUUUAUGAACUGAACCCUAAUAAGGAGCCGUGGAGAAAAAUGGAUCUUCGGGAUCAAGAAUUGGUCAAAAUAGUUGGACUAAGGUAUGAGGUUGGACCACCUACGCUCUGUUGCCUCAAACUAGCAUUUAUAGAUCCAGCAACUGGCAGACUGACGGAUAAAUCUUUCUCUAUUAGAUAUCAUGAUAUGCCAGAUGUUAUUGAUUUUCUUGUGUUGCGCCAAUUUUAUGAUGAAGCAAGACAGAGAAACUGGCAGCCUAGCGACAGAUUUCGAUCUAUAAUUGAUGAUGCUUGGUGGUUUGGAACUGUGUUGAGUCAAGAGCCAUAUCAACCACAGUAU
rnacentral:lncRNA from 1 species